rnacentral:rRNA from 1 species
AGAGUUUGGAUUUGGCUCAGGAUGAACGCUGGCGGUAUGCUUAACACAUGCAAGUCGAACGGAACCCUUAGGGGUUUAGUGGCGGACGGGUGAGUAACGCGUGAGAAUCUGGCUCUAGGUUCGGGACAACCACUGGAAACGGUGGCUAAUACCGGGUAUGCCGAGAGGUGAAAGGUUAACUGCCUGGAGAUGAGCUCGCGUCUGAUUAGCUAGUUGGUGGUGUAAGGGACUACCAAGGCGACGAUCAGUAGCUGGUCUGAGAGGAUGAUCAGCCACACUGGAACUGAGACACGGUCCAGACUCCUACGGGAGGCAGCAGUGGGGAAUUUUCCGCAAUGGGCGAAAGCCUGACGGAGCAAUACCGCGUGAGGGAGGAAGGCUCUUGGGUUGUAAACCUCUUUUCUCAGGGAAUAAGCAAGUGAAGGUACCUGAGGAAUCAGCAUCGGCUAACUCCGUGCCAGCAGCCGCGGUAAUACGGAGGAUGCAAGCGUUAUCCGGAAUGAUUGGGCGUAAAGCGUCCGUAGGUGGCUGUGUGUGUCUAUUGUUAAAGAGUUUGGCUCAACCAAAUAAGGGCGGUAGAAACUACACAGCUAGAGUGCGUUCGGGGCAGAGGGAAUUCCUGGUGUAGCGGUGAAAUGCGUAGAGAUCAGGAAGAACACCGGUGGCGAAAGCGCUCUGCUAGGCCGCAACUGACACUGAGGGACGAAAGCUAGGGGAGCGAAUGGGAUUAGAUACCCCAGUAGUCCUAGCCGUAAACGAUGGAUACUAGGCGUUGAGAGUAUCGACCCUCUCAGUGCCGUAGCUAACGCGUUAAGUAUCCCGCCUGGGGAGUACGCACGCAAGUGUGAAACUCAAAGGAAUUGACGGGGGCCCGCACAAGCGGUGGAGUAUGUGGUUUAAUUCGAUGCAACGCGAAGAACCUUACCAGGGCUUGACAUGUCUGGAACUCUGGGGAAACUCGGAGGUGCCUUCGGGAGCCAGAACACAGGUGGUGCAUGGCUGUCGUCAGCUCGUGUCGUGAGAUGUUGGGUUAAGUCCCGCAACGAGCGCAACCCUCGUACUUAGUUGCCAGCAUUUCGGAUGGGCACUCUAAGGAGACUGCCGGUGACAAACCGGAGGAAGGUGGGGAUGACGUCAAGUCAGCAUGCCCCUUACGUCCUGGGCUACACACGUACUACAAUGCUACGGACAAAGGGCAGCGAGACUGCGAAGUCAAGCAAAUCUCAGAAACCGUGGCUCAGUUCAGAUCGCAGGCUGCAACUCGCCUGCGUGAAGGAGGAAUCGCUAGUAAUUGCAGGUCAGCAUACUGCAGUGAAUUCGUUCCCGGGCCUUGUACACACCGCCCGUCACACCAUGGAAGCUGGUCACGCCCGAAGUCGUUACCCUAACUUUUCGGAGAGGGGGACGCCGAAGGUAGGACUGGUGACUGGGGUGAAGUCGUAACAAGGUAGCCGUACCGGAAGGUGUGGCUGGGAUCACCUCCUUUUAAGGGAGACCUACCCACUCAAAUUACCGAAGACAAGUUGAAGUUGUAAAUAGGUAAUGAGUUGGUCAUCCCAGGUCGGUCGGUAGAGUUAGAAAGUACGCUCUUCCAUACUAAUUAGAAUGCGUUCUGUGAGUCUCAUAGUAAAAUCAGAUGCUGAUAGUUCACGUGACCAGUGCAGCAACUUAGCAUCAUACUAUCGUUAGCUAAGACUGCUGGGUGAUGAGUCCUGACAAGUAUUCUUUGAUAGACUGCUUAAGACGAUGCUUAAUGUUAUGGUUAGCUCAGUCUCUAAAGUUAUCAGUGAUCAGUAGUCGAUAUGAAAACUGAGAACUGAACACAUGACUGACUGAGUCACGAAGCUCAGAUGUCGUAGUACGUCGUCCAGCUACUAGUGACCUGCGAGAUACUGCAUCCGCGCGCGACAAGAGAAAAACUCGGGCGCUGCGUGGGGUAAAUUCCGCCAAACCUUGAAAACUGCUAAAAAACGGAUGUUAUGUUAGUUCAGUCAAGUGAGCAGUGAACCGGUAAUCAACGAACCUGAACCUGGAACCAGAGACCUGAUUACCGAACCAGUGUUCGCAAUGGUCAAGCUAUAGCUGCAGGAUCUAGAUCAACGAGACGA